GACAAAAAUAACCCUAUUAUUGAAAAGAAAAAAAUCUAAAAAGGAAAACAAAAUUCGCAAGACAAUUAUUUUUGCUAGGCACAUGUUAUUCUCUAUAUAUGAUAUAAGUUUAGUGGUAAGAAAUUAUAUCUUAAAACAUUAAUGUAUAAAUUUCUAAAAGAGAACUUAUGCCGUUCAUGACAUAACUUGUAUAUCUUGGAACAUAAAUUUAAUUUAUAACAGUAUGCCUUAAAAACUUCAUGCAUUGAACUUAUCUUGUAGGCAUAACUUGUGCUUUGAAGAAAACAAUGGACCACAUUUUUAUCACAAAGUUAGAUUGCUAAUUAUGAAAUAGUGGCUAAAAAACAUAUUUUUAUGAUGUCCAUAAGCUUAUGCCUAUUUAUAUUUGUUGGGAUAUUUGGAAGACAUAUGUAGAGCUUAAUAUGGUCAUCUUUUGCUAGAAUUCUUUAUGCUAUCAACUAUAUAUCAUAUUCACAGUUUUGAAUAUAGUCUUUCUAUGUAUAUAGUUUUUUUCAAGGAUGAGGCUCCCUUUGAAUCAUCUAUUUGAUGUGUUUUAGGUCUCUAACUUAGACCUCACAUUGCAAAGCUUUUCUUUCUUUCUUUCUUUUCUUUUCUACCUAUCUAGAAGUGUGAGUUUCAACGUGUGUGUUUAUAGUCAUAUUCAUAUUUGAUUAGGGUAUUUUUGUCAUAUUACAUUAAUUUUUUCUUUCUACCUAUGUAGAAGUGUGAGUUUCAACGUGUGUAUUUAUAGUCAUAUUCAUAUUUGAUUAGGGUAUUUUUGUCAUAUUACGUUAAUUUUUUCUUUCUAUUCUACCUAUAUAGAAGUGUGAGUUUCAACGUGUGUUUAUAGUCCUAUUCAUAUUUGAUUAGGGUAUUUUUGUCAUAUUACAUUAAUUUCCAUGGUUUAACUUCAUUACACGUGGAUUAUACGUGUCCUUCACCCCCACUUCCGCUCCUUUUAUCAAAAGCUCAAAGCUUUCUUCAACUUUCUCAGACUCGAAGUUGCUGCACUUCUAAGGUAAAAAAAAGAGUUCGCAGUAAGCAAAGGAGAAAAAGAAGAUGGGUUCUUAUUUAUGUACUUGACAAUUCUAUGGGUUUUGAAAUUUUGGUGCUUACAAGUUUUAUUUA